rnacentral:rRNA from 1 species
GACGAACGCUGGCGGCGUGCUUAACACAUGCAAGUCGAACGAUGAUCAGGAGCUUGCUCUUGUGAUUAGUGGCGAACGGGUGAGUAACACGUGAGUAACCUGCCCCUGACUCUGGGAUAAGCGUUGGAAACGACGUCUAAUACUGGAUAUGAUCACUGGCCGCAUGGUCUGGUGGUGGAAAGAUUUUUUGGUUGGGGAUGGACUCGCGGCCUAUCAGCUUGUUGGUGAGGUAAUGGCUCACCAAGGCGACGACGGGUAGCCGGCCUGAGAGGGUGACCGGCCACACUGGGACUGAGACACGGCCCAGACUCCUACGGGAGGCAGCAGUGGGGAAUAUUGCACAAUGGGCGAAAGCCUGAUGCAGCAACGCCGCGUGAGGGAUGACGGCCUUCGGGUUGUAAACCUCUUUUAGUAGGGAAGAAGCGAGAGUGACGGUACCUGCAGAAAAAGCACCGGCUAACUACGUGCCAGCAGCCGCCGUAACAC